UACGAAGGGGGCUAGCGUUGUUCGGAUUUACUGGGCGUAAAGCGCACGUAGGCGGUUUGUUAAGUCAGAGGUGAAAUCCCGGAGCUCAACUCCGGAACUGCCUUUGAUACUGGCAAGCUAGAGUCCGGAAGAGGUAAGUGGAACUCCUAGUGUAGAGGUGGAAUUCGUAGAUAUUAGGAAGAACACCAGUGGCGAAGGCGGCUCACUGGCCCGGUACUGACGCUGAGGUGCGAAAGCGUGGGGAGCAAACAGG
rnacentral:rRNA from 1 species